GACAGAGGGGGCAAGCGUUGCUCGGAAUUACUGGGCGUAAAGGGCGCGUAGGCGGGAUGGCAAGUCGGUCGUGAAAUCCCUCGGCUCAACCGAGGAACGUCGAUCGAUACUGCUGUUCUUGAGGAUUGCAGAGGAGAGUGGAAUUCCUGGUGUAGCGGUGAAAUGCGCAGAUAUCAGGAGGAACACCAACGGCGAAGGCAGCUCUCUGGGACGUUACUGGACGCUGAGGCGCGAAAGCCGUGGGGAGCAAACAGG
rnacentral:rRNA from 1 species